AAAUAUCACCCCCGGGGUCUGACCAAUUAAAUGGCUGCUUCUUAGUGUGGCGUUUAGGAGAGAUGACAGAUUGAACGCUGCAGCAUAAACCCACACAUUCAUUUCAGCCCAGGCACUCUGCCCCAAAGGGGAAGUCAAUCAGAAAAAGAAGUAGUUUGGAGUGAAGUCUUCUAACGAGUCUGAACACAGAAUAAACGGACCCACAGUUUAAUUACUGCAGAAUCAUCUUCCAUCAAAACUGAUGACACAGCUCAUCAGGACUAAAGAGACUCCUCUCCCUCUAGUCCUGUGUGGGAAUCAGGACUCAUCAGAUAAACUUUUCAGGACUUUCUGCCUUGAGAAACUGCUUUCACAAAAUACUAUCACACUGGCAGACUACAGCUGGAACCUAUGUUCCUGAGACUGGUCUUGAACUCAUGGAUUCAGCAAGCCUCCCACCUCACCAGUCCUGCUGACUGAGAACUCCUCUUCCUCUCGGUGCCUGUCCACCAGGUUGGGGUAGAGGGUGCAUUCUCACCGUCUGACCCAGGGCGGCAGCGGAACCAGCACCACACUGCAGCUGGAUGCCCGGCAGUGGUAAAUGAAGAAAUUCAGACCAAGCACCUUCUUCCUCCCAAACUCUUAGCUUGCUCUGAUGUUUAAUCAAUCUAAAACUUACGCUGACUCUCUGCAGCAACUUCUGAUCCAGCUAUGUGGGACGUGCCCAGAAACCAUCCCAAAAAGCAAAAGAAAAUGAACAUGUCUAGUCUGCUAGUAUCACAAAAAACAAACCACCACCAACAACUGCCCUCCUUCAUAUUUUACCAUAUUCUUUCCUACCAAAGAAUGCCUGUGCUUAAUCUGGCCCUUGGAUAUUACUUUGUCGUUAUUUCACAACAAAAUACAAAAUAGUUACUGUUCACAUCCGUGAUAAUAUUAAGGCCCCAGUGCUGAUUUUAGGAAGUUUUGUCCUCUCUACCUUGAUUUGCAAAGCCACUAGCCCAGCACUGACCCCAACACUCACUCCCCGCCCACUAGACUUCUUUGCAAUGUGGCUGGGAUACUGAAUGUGGGGGGGGUAAAAUGUAAUCAAGACCUUUACCUAGAAGGCACAUGUGCUCUGAGCAUGUCAGUUCAAUAUACUGAACCAAGUUUACUCUGUGCAUAAGGAAUAACACACACGGGGCUGAAGAGAUGGCUCAGAGGUUAAGAGCAUGACUGCUCUUCCAAAGGUCCUGAGUUCAAUACCCAGCAACCACACAUUGGCUCACAACCAUCUAUAAUUGGGAUCUAAUCCCCUCUUCUGGUGUGUCUGACAGCUACAGUGUACUCAUAUACAUAAAAUAAAUAAAUCUUUAAAAAAA